rnacentral:rRNA from 1 species
GUCGAACGGCAGCACGGGUGCUUGCACCUGGUGGCGAGUGGCGAACGGGUGAGUAAUACAUCGGAACAUGUCCUGUAGUGGGGGAUAGCCCGGCGAAAGCCGGAUUAAUACCGCAUACGAUCUACGGAUGAAAGCGGGGGACCUUCGGGCCUCGCGCUAUAGGGUUGGCCGAUGGCUGAUUAGCUAGUUGGUGGGGUAAAGGCCUACCAAGGCGACGAUCAGUAGCUGGUCUGAGAGGACGACCAGCCACACUGGGACUGAGACACGGCCCAGACUCCUACGGGAGGCAGCAGUGGGGAAUUUUGGACAAUGGGCGAAAGCCUGAUCCAGCAAUGCCGCGUGUGUGAAGAAGGCCUUCGGGUUGUAAAGCACUUUUGUCCGGAAAGAAAUCCUUGGCUCUAAUACAGUCGGGGGAUGACGGUACCGGAAGAAUAAGCACCGGCUAACUACGUGCCAGCAGCCGCGGUAAUACGUAGGGUGCGAGCGUUAAUCGGAAUUACUGGGCGUAAAGCGUGCGCAGGCGGUUUGCUAAGACCGAUGUGAAAUCCCCGGGCUCAACCUGGGAACUGCAUUGGUGACUGGCAGGCUAGAGUAUGGCAGAGGGGGGUAGAAUUCCACGUGUAGCAGUGAAAUGCGUAGAGAUGUGGAGGAAUACCGAUGGCGAAGGCAGCCCCCUGGGCCAAUACUGACGCUCAUGCACGAAAGCGGGGNGAGCAAACAGGAUUAGAUACCCUG